CUUUUAUAAUUUGGAAGAUACUUGAUCAGCAACUCCGGCAAGGAGGCGAUCAGCUGGGGAACACUGAAAGAUUGCUGGCAGACGUUCCGGAGGACGAUGAUCUGCAAGUUCGGCAGCAGAAGCGAACUUGCUAGUGCCGUCUUUAGUCUUUUCCUGCUUGUAUGUCAUCAGGCAAAGCUCCUCGCGUCUGUCUUCUUUGGUGUUGCACACGAAGUAAAAACGAAGCCAACUGCGCCUGUCAAACAAGAUCAAGACCUCCACUCUCUCCUUGGAAACACGAAAGAUGAGCCUCCAGACCUCAUUGAUUUCA